rnacentral:tRNA from 1 species
GCCAGGGUGGCGAAAUUGGCAAACGCAUACGGCUUAGGACCGUACGGGGAAACCCUUGGAGGUUCAAGUCCUCUCUCUGGCA